CACGUAGGAGGCGAGCGUUGUCCGGAAUCAUUGGGCGUAAAGAGCGCGCAGGCGGUCCUUUAAGUCUGAUGUGAAAGCCCUUGGCUUAACUGAGGAAGUGCAUCCGAAACUGGCAGGCUAGAGUACUAAAGAGGGUCGCGGAAUUCCCGGUGUAGAGGUGAAAUUCGUAGAUAUCGGGAGGAACACCGGUGGCGAAGGCGGCGACCUGGGUAGAUACUGACGCUGAGGUGCGAAAGCGUGGGGAGCAAACAGG
rnacentral:rRNA from 1 species